GCAGGGAGCAAUUCUGGUAGAUUUGGACAGAUUGGGGAAGUGGGCGGAACAGAAUAGGAUGCAGUUUAACAAAGAUAAAUGCCAUGUGUUGCAUCUAGGGAGGAAGAA